GAUUGGACGAUCGUUGUCACGUGAGUGUUGGACUUACGGUUGCCAGCCUACAUUCAGAAUCACUCCCCGCCAGAAGCUCCACCUUUUGCUGCAAUUUUUGGUUUGAACGCGCUCUUCUCGGCUAAAAAAAGGUUUUUGUUGAUUCCAUUCAGCUAUCACAGCCUGGAGCCAGUGAAGCUGACAUUGUUUCCCGGAUGGCGGCCUAUUUGCGUUCAGCGCCAGACAGGAAAGGUGGUGGUGGUCGCAAGACUGCUGCAGCUCAAAAUGUUUAAUGACUGCAAAAUCUAUAAAGUAUUUCACUUUAGUUCA